rnacentral:rRNA from 1 species
AUUGAACGCUGGCGGCAUGCCUUACACAUGCAAGUCGAACGGCAGCACGGGAGCAAUCCUGGUGGCGAGUGGCGAACGGGUGAGUAAAGUAUCGGAACGUGCCCAGUCGUGGGGGAUAACGUAGCGAACGUUACGCUAAUAACGCAUACGAUCAAUGGAUGAAAGCGGGGGAUCGCAAGACCUCGCGCGAUUGGAGCGGCCGAUAUCAGAUUAGGUAGUUGGUGGGGUAAAGGCCCACCAAGCCGACGAUCUGUAGCUGGUCUGAGAGGACGACCAGCCACACUGGGACUGAGACACGGCCCAGACUCCUACGGGAGGCAGCAGUGGGGAAUUUUGGACAAUGGGCGAAAGCCUGAUCCAGCCAUGCCGCGUGCAGGAUGAAGGCCUUCGGGUUGUAAACUGCUUUUGUACGGAACGAAAGGGACUGCCCUAAUACGGUGGUCCCAUGACGGUACCGUAAGAAUAAGCACCGGCUAACUACGUGCCAGCAGCCGCCGUAA